rnacentral:rRNA from 1 species
UACGUAUGGUGCGAACGUUGUUCGGAAUCACUGGGCAUAAAGAGCACGUAGGCGGUUAAGCAAGUCCAUUGUGAAAUCCCCCGGCCUAACCGGGGAACUGCAUUGGAUACUACUUGACUUGAGUGCAGGAGGGGAGAGUGGAAUUCCAGGUGGAGCGGUGAAAUGCGUAGAUAUCUGGAGGAACGCCGGCGGCGAAAGCGACUCUCUGGUCUGUAACUGACGCUGAGGUGCGAAAGCUAGGGGAGCAAACAGG